UUCUUUUUAUUGGGAAUUUGGGUAUAAUAAAAACGAAAUUGGCUGGAAUCGUCUUUACCUUGGAAUUUAUCAAGAUAAGUAAAGAAGAUAUUUUUCGAUUUUAACCGGAAAUAAAAUAAAUUGAUCUCGUCGAAACCACAUCGAGACGAAUUCCUGUGGCGCGUGGUUUUUUUGAGGUCGUCCACAGUCCGGAGAAGGUCAACAUUUACGCGAUUGUUGCUUUUUCGUGUUAAGAAGGUAAGAUUCAAAAACAAAUACUUUCUAAUUUUUUUUGAAAUGCUUUAAAAUAACGUUCUAAUAAAUUAUUUCUUUGUUUCAGAUUUGUGGUGUGUCUUAAAUGUUGUCCAGGAUGAUAUAAUUUUGUUCCUGAAAAUAUUGAGGUGUACCAAAUUAAUAUCGAAAGACGUCCGAGACAAUGUUGAGGUGUGCCACAGACAAAAUUGCAAAAUAUCCAGCAUUAUCUUGCAUUUAAUGGAGUCCCCGGCAAUGUUGCGAUGUCAAACCGAAUAAUGAGUUCUGGAACUCUAUUGAAUUAGGGAUGAUUUUGAUAUGCUUCAAUAACUGAGAAGAUCUUGCAGUAUACCAGACUCUCGACGUAUGUCAAAGAAAUGAGAUAUACUAAGAAUGAGAUUAAAUGUUGUCUAGAACAACUGACACUAUCUUGUUGUUAUCACAUGCCCAAUAUAGAGAGGUUUUUCGAUUACCUGACGUUCUUGGUGAUCUCCUCUACCACACUGACUAUAUUUCCUGGUGCUCUGUCACUUUUUCUAAGACUUGGAAGUUUUUUUGCAAUGUUUCAAUGUUGCAAUAAGGUCAAGGUGUUACAAAUAAUAUUGAGAUGUGUCAAGCACAAACAAGGAUGAUUUGAAGAUGUGUCAAGGUUGAUCUUGAGACAUUCCAGGGAAGAUAUUGAGUUAAACGAUGCUAAAAAAUGCUAGAGAUGAUAUUGCAGGAUAUUUAGAACGAUGUUGAGAGUCUGGGACAUUUAUUAUUAUUAUUUACAAUCUGUAACUAUCUUGAGGAGUAGUAGAGAUGGUGGAAACGAUGAUUAAUGUGCAGGGACGAUAUUGAGGUGUCCUAUAGAGGGUAUUUCGAUAUGUCAGAAACAAUCUUAAGAUGUCCCAGAGGUAAUGAGGUGUCCGGCAAUUUUGAAGUGUACUAUAGAAAUGGCAUUGAAUGAUAUCUGCCUUGAAUUGUACCAAAAUGAUUAUGAACGCUAUUUGGGGUGAUGUGGUGCGCCAAGUAUCUAUUUAAAGUGAUUUUAGGUCGAAAAGAUCGCAACAUAACCUCACUUUUUAAUUAAUAACUGCGAAAUUGGUUUGUAUCGGAUAUUAUCUUCAUGUUACACCGCAGCUGGGUCAUCUUUACGCUGAGAUUUAACAAGAUAAGUAAGUAAAACAUAACUUAAGAAGAAAUAUUUUAAAAAAUAAAAAUGAAUUAACGCCAUCUGAUCAGUGAUAAUCCUCCAAAUCAUCAAAUUUUGCAAUAAAAUAAGCUUAAUUGUACCAAAUAACAUAUCAAAAUACUUUUUUAAAGACGCAUAGUAUCUAUUUAAAGUAAUUUUAGGUUCCACGAAAAGAUUUUUCCCCCAAAAAUGUAUCAAAGAAGUUUUUAUGGGUUUUUAUUUUUUUUAUUGGAAAUUUAGAGCGAUUCAUUAAAAUAAAAUCGUCUCACGAAAAGAUUUUUCCCCCAAAAAUGUAUCAAAGAAGUUUUUAUCGAAACAUAACCUCACUUUUUUUUAUUGGAAAUUUGGAGUGAUUCAUUAAAAUAAAAUCAAAAAAACGGCAUUAAUAAAUACUAAACUCAACGUUGAGUCCAAUUAACGAUGAUGUGUCACACUCAUAUUAUAAAAUUGCGAGAAGAUAUUGAGUUGUACCUAUCUGUAACUAUCUUGAGGGGUAAUAGAGAUGCUGGAAAUGAUGUUUAACCAAUAAGUACUUAGACACCCAUGCAAAUACUAACAUUUGCGGUAACAGGCUCUUUUUAACGAUGAAUCAAGAGUCUGACAACGUUAUCUGUCAUGUUGCGAGGUUCACCAUCGAUUGGGCUACCACCAUACCAGCUACCAUCAUACAACGACUUGUGGAAAACAUUUCAAUAAUAAUUAUAAUAAUAAUAAUAAGGUUACACACAAUGCCUAACAGCGAGAUGGGGAAAAUUACGAGAUUGAAGUACGAGGUAUGUAGAAAUCUCGUAGAAAAUACUCAAUCAUUUUCUGUUCCUAUUUUUCAUUUGAAAUGGAAGUCGCUUUGUUU